rnacentral:rRNA from 1 species
UGUGCCAGCAGCCGCGGUAAUACAGAGGGUGCAAGCGUUAAUCGGAAUUACUGGGCGUAAAGCGAGCGUAGGUGGCUUGAUAAGUCAGAUGUGAAAGCCCCGGGCUUAACCUGGGAACGGCAUCUGAUACUGUUAGGCUAGAGUAGGUGAGAGGAAGGUAGAAUUCCAGGUGGUAGCGGUGAAAUGCGUAGAGAUCUGGAGGGAAUACCCGAUGGCGAAGGCAGCCUUCUGGCAUCAUACUGACACUGAGGUUCGAAAGCGUGGGUAGCAAACAGGAUUAGAUACCCUGGUAGUCCACGCCGUAAACGAUGUCUACUAGUCGUUGGGUCCCUUGAGGACUUAGUGACGCAGCUAACGCAAUAAGUAGACCGCCUGGGGAGUACGGCCGCAAGGUUAAAACUCAAAUGAAUUGACGGGGGCCCGCACAAGCGGUGGAGCAUGUGGUUUAAUUCGAUGCAACGCGAAGAACCUUACCUGGUCUUGACAUAUCUAGAAUCCUGCAGAGAUGCGGGAGUGCCUUCGGGAAUUAGAAUACAGGUGCUGCAUGGCUGUCGUCAGCUCGUGUCGUGAGAUGUUGGGUUAAGUCCCGCAACGAGCGCAACCCUUGUCCUUAGUUACCAGCGGUUUGGCCGGGAACUCUAAGGAUACUGCCAGUGACAAACUGGAGGAAGGCGGGGACGACGUCAAGUCAUCAUGGCCCUUACGACCAGGGCUACACACGUGCUACAAUGGUAGGUACAGAGGGCAGCUACACAGCGAUGUGAUGCGAAUCUCAAAAAGCCUAUCGUAGUCCAGAUUGGAGUCUGCAACUCGACUCCAUGAAGUAGGAAUCGCUAGUAAUCGCGGAUCAGAAUGCCGCGGUGAAUACGGUUCCCGGGCCUUGUACACACCGCCCGUCACACCAUGGGAGUUGAUUGCACCAGAAGUGGUUAGCCUAACCUUUUAGGAAGGCGAUCACCACGGUGUGGUUGAUGACUGGGGUGAAGUCGUAACAAGGUAACCGA